rnacentral:lncRNA from 1 species
UUUUUAUGAUAGUUGGGUGAAGGUCUCUUCUUCUGGAGCUGCUUCCUGCUGACAAGGGGUGAAGAUCGGGGUUAGACCUGGAUCUGAUGAGGCCCAUGGAUGUGUAGCCUAUCUUUCAGGAAGGGAAUCAGAGACCUUGGCAUUCCCUGUGUUCAAGAUCACUAGUCACUGUCAAUCAGGCCCAUCCGUUCCAAGAAGAAAGAAAAACAUCAUUCUUACACGCCAUGGCCUUUGAAGUGGACCAGCAACUUUCCUGGGUCUCCAGCUUGCAGACUGCAGAUUGUGAGAUUUCCCAGCCUCCAUAAUCAUCACCAUGGCAAGAAAGCGCCACCCUUGAAUGUCCUGCCUACUCAGCUGAAAGCAGCAGCUGUUCCAAUAAGCAAUUUGAUGUUCAGCACCUGAGACUGGCUCCCUCCUUCCAGCAAGACUGCAAGCUCAACAGAAUGUAGGAAAGCACGGACAAGUUUCCUGAUGCAGCAAGGAGAGCAACACAGGCAUUUGAAAAGCUAUAUCUGGUAAGAUCAGGAAAUAACUAUUUUUCACCCAACACAUCUUCAAUCCCGCCUGGGAAGGAUUUGCCAAGGAUGAGAGCAUGAGCAAAUCCCAGCAUCUUACGCCAUCUUUGAGCAUUAAAAUCAUCUUGUACUUCAUUGUCAAUAGAAGGGACAUCAUGGUGGCCUUAGGCGAACUGUAGGAGCUAAGCUGGGCCAGAAAGGGGGCUGGGCUCUCAGAUGUAGGAGGAACCUACCAAAGUAUCUUGGAGCCCAGAUGGACGGCCAGGGAAGCCUUUUUCCCACUUCUCAUAGUGGAACAAGCCAGAGGUCCCCAUGAAGAAAAAACACAGAGGUGGCCAUGGGGAAGGGAUUUGGUCCAAAUUCCAGCAAAGGAGCAUCUGGUUGGUCUGACUGGGUCAGAUACUCGUCUCCCAGUUAGGGGAACACAGGAGAUUUCACGUGACAUUCCCACCAGGAGCAGUCAAUAGAAAAGUAACAUACAGAAGAUGCUAUGGGGCACAUUUACCAAAGGAAGGUGGAAUAGAUGUGGUGCGGCCACACGAAUUGCAUAUGUCUAUGUCCCUUUAAAAAAUUCCAAGAAGUUCUAGUAUGUUUAAUGAGUUUUCAGAACGGAAAUUUAAUAAGAACGGAGUGCACAUACAGAGACAAAAAGACUGGGAUCAAUUAUAAUAAGAUAUAAGUAAUUUUCUUUGAGUUGUAGGAAGAGGGGUUGGUUCUUUUUUCUUCUGUUGUUUUUUCCUAUAAUGUGUAUUUAUUACUUUUUUGAUAAAAAAUAAACUUUAUCUUUUGAGAUGAG